rnacentral:rRNA from 1 species
ACCCUGAUCCAGCAAUGCCGCGUGUGUGAAGAAGGCCUUCGGGUUGUAAAGCACUUUUGUCCGGAAAGAAAACGUCUUGGUUAAUACCUGAGGCGGAUGACGGUACCGGAAGAAUAAGCACCGGCUAACUACGUGCCAGCAGCCGCGGUAAUACGUAGGGUGCGAGCGUUAAUCGGAAUUACUGGGCGUAAAGCGUGCGCAGGCGGUCUGUUAAGACCGAUGUGAAAUCCCCGGGCUUAACCUGGGAACUGCAUUGGUGACUGGCAGGCUUUGAGUGUGGCAGAGGGGGGUAGAAUUCCACGUGUAGCAGUGAAAUGCGUAGAGAUGUGGAGGAAUACCGAUGGCGAAGGCAGCCCCCUGGGCCAACACUGACGCUCAUGCACGAAAGCGUGGGGAGCAAACAGGAUUAGAUACCCUGGUAGUCCACGCCCUAAACGAUGUCAACUAGUUGUUGGGGAUUCAUUUCCUUAGUAACGUAGCUAACGCGUGAAGUUGACCGCCUGGGGAGUACGGUCGCAAGAUUAAAACUCAAAGGAAUUGACGGGGACCCGCACAAGCGGUGGAUGAUGUGGAUUAAUUCGAUGCAACGCGAAAAACCUUACCUACCCUUGACAUGGUCGGAAGUCUGCUGA